rnacentral:rRNA from 3 species
CCGACCGCGACCCCAGGUCAGGCGGGACUACCCGCUGAAUUUAAGCAUAUCAAUAAGCGGAG